rnacentral:rRNA from 1 species
UACGGAGGGUGCGAGCGUUGUCCGGAAUCACUGGGCGUAAAGGGCGCGUAGGCGGCCUGAUAAGUAGGGGGUGAAAUCCUGAGGCCUAACCUCAGGGCUGCCUUCUAAACUGUCAGGCUCGAGCACAGUAGAGGCAGGUGGAAUUCCCGGUGUAGCGGUGAAAUGCGUAGAUAUUGGGAGGAACACCAGUGGCGAAGGCGGCUCACUGGACCGGUACUGACGCUGAGGCGCGAAAGCGUGGGGAGCAAACAGG